rnacentral:rRNA from 1 species
GACGAACGCUGGCGGCGUGCUUAACACAUGCAAGUCGAACGGAAAGGCCAUGCUUUUGUGGCGUGCACGAGUGGCGAACGGGUGAGUAACACGUGAGCAACCUGCCCUUGACUCUGGUAUAACUUCAGGACACUGGGGCUAAUACCGGAUAGGAGCUUCUGCUGCAUGGUGGGGGUUGGAAUGUUUCGGAGGUUGGGGCUGGACUCGCGGCUUAUCCGCUUGUUGGUGGGGUUGUGGCUUCCACAGGCUUUGACGGGUAGCCAGCCUGAGAGGGUAACCGGCAACAUUGGAACUGAGUACGGCCCAGACUCCUACGGGAGGCAGCAGUGGGGAAUAUAGCACAAUGGGCGGAAGCCGGAUGCAGCAACGCCGCGUGCGGGAUGACGGCCUUCGGGUUGUAAACCGCUUUCGCCUGUGACGAAGCGUUAGUGACGGUAACGGAUGAAGAAGCACCGGCUAACUACGUG